AAGGGCACCACAAGAACGCGUGGAGCAUGUGGCUUAAUUUGACUCAACGCGGGAAAUCUUACCGGGUCCGGACACACUGAGGAUUGACAGAUAUACGCUGCGUUGCUGCAACCUUCGGGUGUGCACGUGGCUCAAAGAUGCUAGUUCUUUCAUGAUUAUGUGAUAGGUGGUGCAUGGCCGUUCUUAGUUCGUGGAGUGAUCUGUCUGCUUAAUUGCGUAUCAAUAAUAGAGACCUAGUAUACGCGUAUUACUCAUGUGGUAGUGACCCCCUUCUCACGGAGGCGCGGGUCGCACAUAUGGUAUACGCACUGGUCUCAAAUAGCAACCAACGUGACCG
rnacentral:rRNA from 1 species